GACCGUCCGUGCGUGAUUCAAUCUGGACCGUCCGCACGAGUGAGAUCUGGGCCGUCCGUGCGCGUGAGAUAUGGGCCGUCCGUAUGCGUGAGAUCUGGACCGUUCGAUCGCGAGCAUGCUGAUCGCCCACGUGGCUCCGUCCUGCGUGGCCUCCCGCGUUAGCUUCCUUGCCACGCGGCGUGUUUUGGUUGGCCGGGGCUGCUGAUUGGGCUGCUAACGUGGCACAACUUUUUUAAAUUGCGUU
rnacentral:lncRNA from 1 species